AGCAUUCUUUACGUGAUCAUCGCACUGCUAUCUUUGGUUGUAUGUUGGGUCGGUCUACUGUGGGGAUUGGUUUGCCUAUGCCAAAGAAUAUGUACGGGGAAGCGACGUUCGCUUCGUGCUAAGAAAAAACCCCCCCGAUACUCCCUGUUACAACCGGUACCGGAAGACGAUAGCAGCACCUUUUCAACGCAUAAAAUGGUGCUAUCUGAAUCAGACACGGACUCUGACGAUGUUUUAUUCGAACACCGUAAGACGAAAAACAGCCAAGCAAGAAACGAGCUGUAUAGAAUAUAAGAUCUCGUUAAGCGACGCACAGACGUGUAUGUUUGGCCAAAACGUAAAGUACUAGUCACUUACAAGGCUGUAAUGUUAAGUAUGUACCUAACAAGAUUCCAUACGAUUUCUUCAACCGAUGAAAUUGCCAUCUGUACAAAAGAGUUCAACUGAAACUGAUGUACUUAAGUACCGGUUACACGGAUACCGAGAACACAGGCUCAUUUCCUCCAUUGCAUUUUGUUCAAUGAUUUUAUUUUUGUCUCGGGAUAAUAUAUAGUUUGUCUGUAUUGUACAAUUGAAUUCGAGGCUUUUUAAUUGUAUUAUCUUGUAGAUGCACCGCUGUUUGUAAACACGAGCGGUAUCAUAGCACAAUGAUCGAACUUUGUUCGUUCACGGCCUUAGAAAGUAUUGGAAUUAGUAUUUAUAUAUAGCAAUCAUUCCUUAAUCAUAUAUCCUUUGUAUGUACUACUUGCUCUUUAAUGUGUAUAUCAUCAAUCUUAUUUUUACACGUGUAUGGAUAAGUAAUAAAAUUUGUUAUCCAUAUAA